rnacentral:rRNA from 1 species
UACGGAGGGGGUUAGCGUUGUUCGGAAUUACUGGGCGUAAAGCGCGCGUAGGCGGACCAGAAAGUUGGGGGUGAAAUCCCGGGGCUCAACCCCGGAACGGCCUCCUAAACUCCUGGUCUUGAGUUCGAGAGAGGUGAGUGGAAUUCCGAGUGUAGAGGUGAAAUUCGUAGAUAUUCGGAGGAACACCAGUGGCGAAGGCGGCUCACUGGCUCGAUACUGACGCUGAGGUGCGAAAGUGUGGGGAGCAAACAGG